GGCUCUGUGGCGCAAUAGACAGCACAUUAGACUUCUAGGUGAGUGAGGAAGACCUUUUAAAGUUUGUGGGUUCAAGUCCCACCAGAGUCA